UUUAUGUUCUUGAACAUACAGGAAAGAUAUCAGAAAACAGUCGCGAUACCUGGGCAGUCAAAAACUAAAUAAUCAUCGUCCAAAUAAUUAUCCAACUCUUCUGUCAGCCACUCAUCCAGAUUUUCUUCCAGGUGCAUGUGGUUGUUAAGGCUGUACAAAGUCUAAUACAGCAUAAAGAAAGACUGACGUACCAUCAAACUCAUAAUCACAGUUUCACUCUGGUAAAAGACACAACUAAACUGAGACAGCACUAAAUCAUUAAUUAACAAUAUAUAGAAUGGAAUCAUAUAUUGUGAAGGAUACUCCAUGCAGUAGAUAAGGCCACCAUUUGGCCCCAAUCCAAGCUCCUCCAUGACAUCCUCCAGAGAAAUGAGUUCCCUAAUAUC
rnacentral:lncRNA from 1 species